rnacentral:rRNA from 1 species
UACGUAGGUGGCAAGCGUCGUCCGGAUUUACUGGGUGUAAAGGGCAUGUAGCCGGGCUGACAAGUCAGAUGUGAAAUCCGGGGGCUCAACCCCCGAACUGCAUCUGAAACUGUUGGUCUUGAGUAUCGGAGAGGCAGGCGGAAUUCCUAGUGUAGCGGUGAAAUGCGUAGAUAUUAGGAGGAACACCAGUGGCGAAGGCGGCCUGCUGGACGACAACUGACGGUGAGGCGCGAAAGCGUGGGGAGCAAACAGG